ACGAACGCUGGCGGCGUGCUUCACACAUGCAAGUCGAACGGAAAGGCCCUGCUUUUGUGGGGUGCUCGAGUGGCGAACGGGUGAGUAACACGUGAGUAACCUGCCCUUGACUUUGGGAUAACUUCAGGAAACUGGGGCUAAUACCGGAUAGGAGCUCCUGCUGCAUGGUGGGGGUUGGAAAGUUUCGGCGGUUGGGGAUGGACUCGCGGCUUAUCAGCUUGUUGGUGGGGUAGUGGCUUACCAAGGCUUUGACGGGUAGCCGGCCUGAGGGUGACCGGCCACAUUGGGACUGAGAUACGGCCCAGACUCCUACGGGAGGCAGCAGUGGGGAAUAUUGCACAAUGGGCGGAAGCCUGAUGCAGCAACGCCGCGUGCGGGAUGACGGCCUUCGGGUUGUAAACCGCUUUCGCCUGUGACGAAGCGUGAGUGACGGUAAUGGGUAAAGAAGCACCGGCUAACUACGUG
rnacentral:rRNA from 1 species